UUUCCCCUUUUUAAAAGGACACCAUCCCCAUGGGGGCCCAGUGUGCAAUGGCUGCAAACAGCAGCCUCCUUGGUAGUGUAUGCAACCUGUUGCCUGUACAGGUAGCCCUAAGGGACCUUGGAGACAACU
ensembl:snoRNA SNORA70 Small nucleolar RNA SNORA70